rnacentral:lncRNA from 1 species
GCCUGUUUGACCAUGUACCUUUCUGGAUACACACCUCAUUCCCAUGGACAGAAACUGAAUGGAGCUUCGUAAGUGAAGCAGAGACAUCCUGCAGCUCCAGGGCUGUCCUUCUGUCAAACAUCGGGCUUAUUCAAGCAAAGAAAAAGCCUCAAGUGCCCAUUAUAAUGAAAUCUUUCAGACAAUCUAAAUAUAGAUAUUUCUAUCAGCUUCCUCUCUAAUAAAUCACAAAGAAGAAAACAUAAUUGCUGUUUACAUAGGAGUCAAAUCAAAUAACCUAACCUUUAUUUAGCAUUAAUUUCUGCUAUGAUUUUUUCCAUAGCUGACCUUUUCUACUCCAGAGAGAUCUUUAUAAAGAAUAGGCAAGAAGGUAAAAAAAAAAAAAAAAAAGUUAUCUUAUGAAAUGAUAAUUAAGCAAGACAAGGGCCAUGAAAAUAAUGUCUUUUCACGCAGCUUGCAAAGGUCUGUGUAUACUCAGAGUCGCCUUGGGCAACGGGACAAACUCAGUGAUGCUCUGACCCUCCUACAGCGCUUCCUGUCUCUGACAUCAGCAUGGCACUGUCAUUAUUACUGUUAUAAAGAGGCAGACAGGGCUGAUGUGCUGGCUGAGAGAAGCUGUGACAGCUGCUUCGUGAGAGCUUACCCACUUCUUUCCAACCAAGAGAGAACUGGAGGGAUGACUGUUGGGUUUUCAGAUGUAUAUGUAAAUGUAUCCCAGCCUACAGCUUGAAUGUGUGCUAUUUGCUCCACCUGUUCUGUGUUUGCAAAGUGUGAUUCAAUCCCCUCUAUCAGAUGGCACUGUUUAGAUUCCCUCGUCGUCUGGCAAAAACAUUGAAAGGUGAAGAAAAAGUAAGUAAUUUCAAGAUAGCCAAAUACCCUUUCUCCUGGUUAGAUAUGCAGGUAAACUAUCACCUGCCUAAAAGGUUUAUAGAGUUUCUGAACAACACAUCUAAAGAACACAAAGGAAACAGAACAGGGGUUUUGAUACUAAUGAGAUUUCUUUCAUCUAAGGGAGAGUGGACAAGGGGAGAUUUGUGGGAGAUUUGCUUCUACUUCCCUCCUCCUAUUCUUUGAUAUGACUUUCAGUACUUGGCAUUAGGAACAACCUCCAAAGGUACACCCCUGCUGCAUUGCUGCAAUAGCACAGGGAGGGAGAUAGCCAGGUUGUCCUGAUCAGGCUGUGUGGAGCAGCUCAGCUGAGAGUGCCAAGUAGCACACCCUGCUUGGCACUGUACAGCCACAAGCACAGCUAGCUCCUAGUUGCCGGAGAGUAUCUCAUCUAUCUAAUUUAUCUAUACACUGUGCAGUGUGCAUGCACCUUUCAUAUGUUUCUGCAGCCCCAUAGCACAAGAGGUCUACUUUUGAAGCAUUACAGUGGCUUGCUCUUACAUCCCAUGUGGUGUGGGGAGCAAAUGACUUACCAAUGUCACAAUCUGCUUUGUUUUAUUUCAGGUCAGGUUCAAGCAAUGUGGACAAGCUACAGUUUGUCUCAUCAGCACAAGCAAGCAAGGGCUUUGAAGGCUAAAGAAAAGAGUGGAUAAACAGUUAUUCUUUUUGUCAUCUGUUGUAAUGAUAGACAAAAAAUGGCUGUCAUCCUCAGCAAGCCCCUUUCCCAGAACCAUUCCCUGACUCCAAAGUAUCCCAUAAUAAAAAUAACAACAAAAACCCCGGAGUUCA